AUUGAACGCUGGCGGCAGGCCUAACACAUGCAAGUCGAGCGGUAGCACAGGGGAGCUUGCUCCCUGGGUGACGAGCGGCGGACGGGUGAGUAAUGUCUGGGAAACUGCCUGAUGGAGGGGGAUAACUACUGGAAACGGUAGCUAAUACCGCAUAACGUCGCAAGACCAAAGAGGGGGACCUUCGGGCCUCUUGCCAUCCGAUGUGCCCAGAUGGGAUUAGCUAGUAGGGGGGGUAAUGGAUCACCUAGGCGACGAUCCCUAGCUGGUCUGAGAGGAUGACCAGCCACACUGGAACUGAGACACGGUCCAGACUCCUACGGGAGGCAGCAGUGGGGAAUAUUGCACAAUGGGCGCAAGCCUGAUGCAGCCAUGCCGCGUGUAUGAAGAAGGCCUUCGGGUUGUAAAGUACUUUCAGCGAGGAGGAAGGUGUUGAGGUUAAUAACCUCAGCAAUUGACGUUACUCGCAGAAGAAGCACCGGCUAGCUCCGUGCCAGCAGCCGCAGUAACAC
rnacentral:rRNA from 1 species